CCCAGAGUAGGAGAGGUUAGUGAAUACAACACUAGGCUACUAUCUGUGAAACUGCUCAGCUCCUAUACCCAACUGAGCUUCUGGAUGGCUGUGGGCUCAAUUCAACCAAACCUACAUAGGUAGAACUCAUGCAGGAACAAGAGCACCCUCUUUCUAAUGUAGUCAAAAAAAAUUGCAGAAUGGUAAAUCAGGUGGCAGGUAGCCGAGCGGUUAAGAGCUUUGGGCAAGUAACCGAAAGGUUGCUGAUUCGAAUCCCUGAGCCGACUAGGUGAACAAUCUGUCGAUAUGCCCUUGAGCAAGGUAACUCUAAUUGCUCCUGUAAGUCCCUCUGGAUAAAAGCGUCUGCAAAAUGGCUAAAAUGGUACAGUAAAUCAAAUCAAAUCAAAAUUAUUUAUAUAGCCCUUCGUACAUCAGCUGAUAUCUCAAAGUGCUGUACAGAAACCCAGCCU